GCCAAUGUGGUGUAGUGGUUUGGGUGUUGGACUGCAGCUCUGGAGAUCAGGGUUCAAUUCCCAGCAUGGCCG